CUCGUUCAUCUUCGCAAGAAGACGGAAGUAGGUAAUGGUACCGAAGGAACGCAUC
rnacentral:ncRNA from 1 species